UUAAGCGACUAAGCGUACACGGUGGAUGCCCUGGCAGUCAGAGGCGAUGAAGGACGUGCUAAUCUGCGAUAAGCGUCGGUGAGGUGAUAUGAACCGUUAUAACCGGCGAUUUCCGAAUGGGGAAACCCAGUGUGUUUCGACACACUAUCAUUAACUGAAUCCAUAGGUUAAUGAGGCGAACCGGGGGAACUGAAACAUCUAAGUACCCCGAGGAAAAGAAAUCAACCGAGAUUCCCCCAGUAGCGGCGAGCGAACGGGGAGGAGCCCAGAGCCUGAAUCAGUGUGUGUGUUAGUGGAAGCGUCUGGAAAGGCGCGCGAUACAGGGUGACAGCCCCGUACACAAAAAUGCACAUAUUGUGAGCUCGAUGAGUAGGGCGGGACACGUGGUAUCCUGUCUGAAUAUGGGGGGACCAUCCUCCAAGGCUAAAUACUCCUGACUGACCGAUAGUGAACCAGUACCGUGAGGGAAAGGCGAAAAGAACCCCGGCGAGGGGAGUGAAAAAGAACCUGAAACCGUGUACGUACAAGCAGUGGGAGCCUCUUAAUGGGGUGACUGCGUACCUUUUGUAUAAUGGGUCAGCGACUUAUAUUCUGUAGCAAGGUUAACCGAAUAGGGGAGCCGAAGGGAAACCGAGUCUUAACUGGGCGUUAAGUUGCAGGGUAUAGACCCGAAACCCGGUGAUCUAGCCAUGGGCAGGUUGAAGGUUGGGUAACACUAACUGGAGGACCGAACCGACUAAUGUUGAAAAAUUAGCGGAUGACUUGUGGCUGGGGGUGAAAGGCCAAUCAAACCGGGAGAUAGCUGGUUCUCCCCGAAAGCUAUUUAGGUAGCGCCUCGUGAAUUCAUCUCCGGGGGUAGAGCACUGUUUCGGCAAGGGGGUCAUCCCGACUUACCAACCCGAUGCAAACUGCGAAUACCGGAGAAUGUUAUCACGGGAGACACACGGCGGGUGCUAACGUCCGUCGUGAAGAGGGAAACAACCCAGACCGCCAGCUAAGGUCCCAAAGUCAUGGUUAAGUGGGAAACGAUGUGGGAAGGCCCAGACAGCCAGGAUGUUGGCUUAGAAGCAGCCAUCAUUUAAAGAAAGCGUAAUAGCUCACUGGUCGAGUCGGCCUGCGCGGAAGAUGUAACGGGGCUAAACCAUGCACCGAAGCUGCGGCAGCGACACUAUGUGUUGUUGGGUAGGGGAGCGUUCUGUAAGCCUGUGAAGGUGUACUGUGAGGUAUGCUGGAGGUAUCAGAAGUGCGAAUGCUGACAUAAGUAACGAUAAAGCGGGUGAAAAGCCCGCUCGCCGGAAGACCAAGGGUUCCUGUCCAACGUUAAUCGGGGCAGGGUGAGUCGACCCCUAAGGCGAGGCCGAAAGGCGUAGUCGAUGGGAAACAGGUUAAUAUUCCUGUACUUGGUGUUACUGCGAAGGGGGGACGGAGAAGGCUAUGUUGGCCGGGCGACGGUUGUCCCGGUUUAAGCGUGUAGGCUGGUUUUCCAGGCAAAUCCGGAAAAUCAAGGCUGAGGCGUGAUGACGAGGCACUACGGUGCUGAAGCGACAAAUGCCCUGCUUCCAGGAAAAGCCUCUAAGCAUCAGGUAACAUCAAAUCGUACCCCAAACCGACACAGGUGGUCAGGUAGAGAAUACCAAGGCGCUUGAGAGAACUCGGGUGAAGGAACUAGGCAAAAUGGUGCCGUAACUUCGGGAGAAGGCACGCUGAUAUGUAGGUGAAGCGACUUGCUCGUGGAGCUGAAAUCAGUCGAAGAUACCAGCUGGCUGCAACUGUUUAUUAAAAACACAGCACUGUGCAAACACGAAAGUGGACGUAUACGGUGUGACGCCUGCCCGGUGCCGGAAGGUUAAUUGAUGGGGUUAGCGGUAACGCGAAGCUCUUGAUCGAAGCCCCGGUAAACGGCGGCCGUAACUAUAACGGUCCUAAGGUAGCGAAAUUCCUUGUCGGGUAAGUUCCGACCUGCACGAAUGGCGUAAUGAUGGCCAGGCUGUCUCCACCCGAGACUCAGUGAAAUUGAACUCGCUGUGAAGAUGCAGUGUACCCGCGGCAAGACGGAAAGACCCCGUGAACCUUUACUAUAGCUUGACACUGAACAUUGAGCCUUGAUGUGUAGGAUAGGUGGGAGGCUUUGAAGUGUGGACGCCAGUCUGCAUGGAGCCGACCUUGAAAUACCACCCUUUAAUGUUUGAUGUUCUAACGUGGGCCCCUUACCGGGGUUGCGGACAGUGUCUGGUGGGUAGUUUGACUGGGGCGGUCUCCUCCUAAAGAGUAACGGAGGAGCACGAAGGUUGGCUAAUCCUGGUCGGACAUCAGGAGGUUAGUGCAAUGGCAUAAGCCAGCUUGACUGCGAGCGUGACGGCGCGAGCAGGUGCGAAAGCAGGUCAUAGUGAUCCGGUGGUUCUGAAUGGAAGGGCCAUCGCUCAACGGAUAAAAGGUACUCCGGGGAUAACAGGCUGAUACCGCCCAAGAGUUCAUAUCGACGGCGGUGUUUGGCACCUCGAUGUCGGCUCAUCACAUCCUGGGGCUGAAGUAGGUCCCAAGGGUAUGGCUGUUCGCCAUUUAAAGUGGUACGCGAGCUGGGUUUAGAACGUCGUGAGACAGUUCGGUCCCUAUCUGCCGUGGGCGCUGGAGAACUGAGGGGGGCUGCUCCUAGUACGAGAGGACCGGAGUGGACGCAUCACUGGUGUUCGGGUUGUCAUGCCAAUGGCACUGCCCGGUAGCUAAAUGCGGAAGAGAUAAGUGCUGAAAGCAUCUAAGCACGAAACUUGCCCCGAGAUGAGUUCUCCCUGACUCCUUGAGAGUCCUGAAGGAACGUUGAAGACGACGACGUU
rnacentral:rRNA from 1 species